rnacentral:rRNA from 1 species
UACGUAGGGACCAAGCGUUGUUCGGAUUUACUGGGCGUAAAGGGCGCGUAGGCGGCAUGACAAGUCACUUGUGAAAUCUCUGGGCUUAACCCAGAACGGCCAAGUGAUACUGUCACGCUAGAGUGCGGAAGGGGCAAUCGGAAUUCUUGGUGUAGCGGUGAAAUGCGUAGAUAUCGUAAGGAAGACCAGUGGCGAAGGCGGGUCUCUGGACAGUUCCUGACACUGAGGCACGAAGGCCAGGGGAGCAAACGGG